AUUGAACGCUGGCGGCAUGCCUUACACAUGCAAGUCGAGCGGCAGCGCGGGAGCAAUCCUGGCGGCGAGUGGCGAACGGGUGAGUAAUACAUCGGAACGUGCCCAAUCGUGGGGGAUAACGCAGCGAAAGCUGUGCUAAUACCGCAUACGAUCUACGGAUGAAAGCAGGGGAUCGCAAGACCUUGCGCGAAUGGAGCGGCCGAUGGCAGAUUAGGUAGUUGGUGAGGUAAAGGCUCACCAAGCCUUCGAUCUGUAGCUGGUCUGAGAGGACGACCAGCCACACUGGGACUGAGACACGGCCCAGACUCCUACGGGAGGCAGCAGUGGGGAAUUUUGGACAAUGGGCGAAAGCCUGAUCCAGCCAUGCCGCGUGCAGGAUGAAGGCCUUCGGGUUGUAAACUGCUUUUGUACGGAACGAAACGGUCUUUUCUAAUAAAGAAGGCUAAUGACGGUACCGUAAGAAUAAGCACCGGCUAACUACGUG
rnacentral:rRNA from 1 species